UAAGCGGAGGAAAAGAAAC
rnacentral:ncRNA from 2 species